rnacentral:rRNA from 1 species
AUAGACCCGAAACCCGGUGAUCUAGCCAUGGGCAGGUUGAAGGUUGGGUAACACUAACUGGAGGACCGAACCGACUAAUGUUGAAAAAUUAGCGGAUGACCUGUGGCUGGGGGUGAAAGGCCAAUCAAACCGGGAGAUAGCUGGUUCUCCCCGAAAGCUAUUUAGGUAGCGCCUCGUGAACUCAUCUCCGGGGGUAGAGCACUGUUUCGGCUAGGGGGCCAUCCCGGCUUACCAACCCGAUGCAAACUGCGAAUACCGGAGAAUGUUAUCACGGGAGACACACGGCGGGUGCUAACGUCCGUCGUGAAGAGGGAAACAACCCAGACCGCCAGCUAAGGUCCCAAAGUCAUGGUUAAGUGGGAAACGAUGUGGGAAGGCCCAGACAGCCAGGAUGUUGGCUUAGAAGCAGCCAUCAUUUAAAGAAAGCGUAAUAGCUCACUGGUCGAGUCGGCCUGCGCGGAAGAUGUAACGGGGCUAAACCAUGCACCGAAGCUGCGGCAGCGACGCUUAUGCGU